rnacentral:rRNA from 1 species
UUCCGGUUGAUCCUGCCGGAGGCCACCGCUAUUGGAAUCCGAUUUAGACAUGUGAGUCGAGAGUCUUCGGGACUCGGCGGACGGCUCAGUAACACGCGGAUAAUCUGCCCUUGGGUGGGGAAUAAUCUCGGGAAACUGAGCAUAAUACCCCAUAGGCCUGAGAUGCUGGAACGCUUUCAGGCUAAAAGCUCCGGCGCCCAAGGAUGAGUCUGCGGCCUAUCAGCUUGUAGUUGGUGUAAAUGACCAACUAGGCGACGACGGGUACGGGCAUUGGGAGAUGUAGCCCGGAGAUGGACUCUGAGACACGAGUCCAGGCCCUACGGGGCGCAGCAGUCGCGAAAACUUCACAAUGUGGGAAACCGCGAUGAGGGGAUUCCAAGUGCUUACGUUUUGCGUAAGCUGUUCUUCUGCCUAAAAAGCAGGGGAAGUAAGGGCUGGGUAAGACGGGUGCCAGCCGCCGCGGUAAUACCCGCAGCCCGAGUGGUGGUCGAUAUUAUUGAGCUUAAAGCGUCCGUAGCCUGUCUGGUAAAUUCUUGGGUAAAUCGUGCAGCUUAACUGUCCGAAUUCCGGGGAGACUGCCAGACUUGGGACCGGGAGAGGUUGGAGGUACUCCUGGGGUAGGGGUAAAAUCCCGUAAUCCUGGGAGGACCAUCAGUGGCGAAGGCGUCCAACUGGAACGGAUCCGACGGUCAGGGACGAAGCCCUGGGUCGCGAACUGGAUUAGAUACCCAGGUAGUCCAGGGUGUAAACGCUGCAGACUUGGUGUCGGAGGUCCUACGAGGGCGUCCGGUGCUGGAGAGAAAUUGUUAAGUCUGCCGCUUGGGGAGUACGUCCGCAAGGAUGAAACUUAAAGGAAUUGGCGGGAGAGCACCGCAACGGGAGGAGCGUGCGGUUCAAUUGGACUCAACGCCGGUAAUC